rnacentral:rRNA from 1 species
CCUACGGGAGGCAGCAGUGGGGAAUUUUGGACAAUGGGCGCAAGCCUGAUCCAGCCAUGCCGCGUGCGGGAAGAAGGCCUUCGGGUUGUAAACCGCUUUGUCAGGGAAGAAAAGGUUCUGGUUAAUACCUGGGACUCAUGACGGUACCUGAAGAAUAAGCACCGGCUAACUACGUGCCAGCAGCCGCGGUAAUACGUAGGGUGCAAGCGUUAAUCGGAAUUACUGGGCGUAAAGCGUGCGCAGGCGGUUAUGCAAGACAGAGGUGAAAUCCCCGGGCUCAACCUGGGAACUGCCUUUGUGACUGCAUAGCUAGAGUGCGGCAGAGGGGGAUGGAAUUCCGCGUGUAGCAGUGAAAUGCGUAGAUAUGCGGAGGAACACCGAUGGCGAAGGCAAUCCCCUGGGCCUGCACUGACGCUCAUGCACGAAAGCGUGGGGAGCAAACAGGAUUAGAUACCCUGGUAGUCCACGCCCUAAACGAUGUCAACUGGUUGUUGGGAGGGUUUCUUCUCAGUAACGUAGCUAACGCGUGAAGUUGACCGCCUGGGGAUCGGCCGCAAGGUUGAAACUCAAAUGAAUUGACCGGNNGAGAGAGCGACGACGACGACGAGGGAGGAGG